rnacentral:rRNA from 1 species
UUAAGUGAAUAAGGGCGCACGGUGGAUGCCUUGGCACUAGGAGCCGAUGAAGGACGGGACUAACACCGAUAUGCUUUGGGGAGCUGUACGUAAGCUAUGAUCCAGAGAUUUCCGAAUGGGGGAACCCAACAUCUUUAAUAGGAUGUUACGAUUGUGUGAAUACAUAGCACAUUCGAGGUAGACGCAGAGAACUGAAACAUCUAAGUACCUGCAGGAAGAGAAAGAAAAUUCGAUUCCCUGAGUAGCGGCGAGCGAAACGGGAAAAGCCCAAACCAACAAGCUUGCUUGUUGGGGUUGUAGGACUCCAAUAUGGUAGUUCUUUCAGAUAGUCGAAUGACUUGGAAAAGUCAGUCAAAGAGGGUAAAAACCCCGUAGACGAAAUGUGGAAGACACCUAGGAGGAUCCUGAGUACGGCGGAACACGAGAAAUUCCGUCGGAAUCCGGGAGGACCAUCUCCCAAGGCUAAAUACUCCCUAGUGACCGAUAGUGAACCAGUACCGUGAGGGAAAGGUGAAAAGCACCCCGGAAGGGGAGUGAAAUAGAACCUGAAACCGUGUGCCUACAACAAGUCAAAGCCCGUUAAUGGGUGAUGGCGUGCCUUUUGUAGAAUGAACCGGCGAGUUACGAUUGCAUGCGAGGUUAAGUUGAAGAGACGGAGCCGCAGCGAAAGCGAGUCUGAAUAGGGCGUUUGAGUAUGUAGUCGUAGACCCGAAACCAUGUGAUCUACCCAUGUCCAGGUUGAAGGUGCGGUAAAACGCACUGGAGGACCGAACCCACGUACGUUGAAAAGUGCGGGGAUGAGGUGUGGGUAGCGGAGAAAUUCCAAACGAACUUGGAGAUAGCUGGUUCUCUCCGAAAUAGCUUUAGGGCUAGCCUCGGAAUUGAGAAUGAUGGAGGUAGAGCACUGUUUGGACUAGGGGCCCAUCUCGGGUUACCGAAUUCAGAUAAACUCCGAAUGCCAUUCAUUCAUAUCCGGGAGUCAGACUGUGAGUGAUAAGAUCCAUAGUCGAAAGGGAAACAGCCCAGACCACCAGCUAAGGUCCCAAAAUAUAUGUUAAGUGGAAAAGGAUGUGGGGUUGCACAGACAACUAGGAUGUUGGCUUAGAAGCAGCCACCAUUUAAAGAGUGCGUAAUAGCUCACUAGUCGAGUGACCCUGCGCCGAAAAUGUACCGGGGCUAAACAUAUUACCGAAGCUGUGGAGUACACCUUUAGGUGUAUUGGUAGGAGAGCGUUCUAAGGGCGUUGAAGGCAGAUCGUGAGGACUGCUGGAGCGCUUAGAAGUGAGAAUGCCGGUAUGAGUAGCGAAAGACAGGUGAGAAUCCUGUCCACCGAAUGACUAAGGUUUCCUGGGGAAGGCUCGUCCGCCCAGGGUUAGUCGGGACCUAAGCCGAGGCCGACAGGCGUAGGCGAUGGAUAACAGGUUGAUAUUCCUGUACCCGUUGUUUUUGUUUGAGCAAUGGAGGGACGCAGGAGGCUAAGGAAUGCAGACGAUCGGAAAUGUCUGUCCAAGCAGUAAGUCUGAAGAGGAGUCAAAUGCUUCUUUUCUUAAGGACAAGCUGUGAUGGGGAGGGAAAUAAUAGUACCGAAGUUCCUGAUGUCACACUGCCGAGAAAAGCUUCUAGUGAGAAAACAGCGGCCCGUACCGCAAACCGACACAGGUAGUCGAGGAGAGAAUCCUAAGGUGAGCGAGAGAACUCUCGUUAAGGAACUCGGCAAAAUGACCCCGUAACUUCGGGAGAAGGGGUGCUGAUCAUACGAUCAGCCGCAGUGAAUAGGCCCAAGCGACUGUUUAUCAAAAACACAGGUCUCUGCAAAAUCGUAAGAUGAAGUAUAGGGGCUGACGCCUGCCCGGUGCUGGAAGGUUAAGAGGAGUGCUUAGCGCAAGCGAAGGUACGAAUUGAAGCCCCAGUAAACGGCGGCCGUAACUAUAACGGUCCUAAGGUAGCGAAAUUCCUUGUCGGGUAAGUUCCGACCCGCACGAAAGGCGUAACGAUUUGGGCACUGUCUCAACGAGAGACUCGGUGAAAUUUUAGUACCUGUGAAGAUGCAGGUUACCC